GAGUCAUGUGUCACUUCCUGGUCCUGCUGGGCCUCCAGGUGUGGCUGGAGAAGAUGGAGACCAAGAGAAGAACCCCAGAGAACCCAGCCAAUCUUCUCUCCACAUGAGAGGGCUGAGGGCUCUCCUGGACCCCCUGGGCUCAUCGGUCUAUGGAACAGCCUGGAGCAGUGGGAGCAGAUUGGGAGCCCGGAGCUCAGGGACCCCAGGGACACUUUGGAGCCAGAGUGUGCGGAGCCAAAGGCAAUAAAGGAACAAGAGGAUUCACGGACCUACAGGUGAGUUGCGGCUGGCGACGGGCUGAGAGGCAGGGUCAGGAUGAGGUGCUGUGUGUCCCAGACCCUGCUAGCAAUAUGCUUUGAGGACUGGGU